ensembl:snoRNA
UAGCACAUUUCAUGUUUAAUUUCUUGGUAAGAGCUGAGAUAUUUCUGAUGCGCUAGAUAAACCUUGGAGGUAAAUUAGCAGAGUUGGCCAGUCUGUGCCAACCCUGCACAUCCCCUUUCAUACAUCC